GGGAUAUCGCACAAUGGGGGAAACCCUGAUGCAGCGACGCCGCGUGAGUGAAGAAGUAUUUCGGGAUGUAAAGCUCUAUCAGCAGGGAAGAUAAUGACGGUACCUGAGUAAGAAGCCCCGGCCAACUACGUGCCAGCAGCCGCGGUAAUACGUAGGGGGCAAGCGUUAUCCGGAUUUACUGGGUGUAAAGGGAGCGUAGACGGCAGGGCAAGUCUGAUGUGAAAGCCCGGGGCUCAACCCCGGGACUGCAUUGGAAACUGUCAGGCUAGAGUGCAGGAGAGGUGAGCGGAAUUCCUAGUGUAGCGGUGAAAUGAGUAGAUAUUAGGAGGAACACCAGUGGCGAAGGCGGCUCACUGGACUGUAACUGACGUUGAGGCUCGAAAGCGUGGGGAGCAAACA
rnacentral:rRNA from 1 species